GUUUGAUCCUGGCUCAGGACGAACGCUGGCGGCGUGCUUAACACAUGCAAGUCGAACGAUGAAGUUCCUUCGGGAAUGGAUUAGUGGCGAACGGGUGAGGAACACGUGAGAAACCUGCCUUUCAUUUUGGGAUAACUCCGGGAAACCGGGGCUAAAACCGAAUACUCCGUCUCGGCGGCAUCGCUGAGCCGGGAAAAAAUUUUGAUGAAAGAUGGUCUCGCGGCCUAUUAGCUAGUUGGUAGGGUAACGGCCUACCAAGGCGAUGAUCAUUAGGGGAACUGAGAGGUUGAUCCCCCACACUGGCACUGAGAUACGGGCCAGACUCCUACGGGAGGCAGCAGUAGGGAAUAUUGGUCAAUGGGUGAGAGCCUGAACCAGCCAUGCCGCGUGCAGGAAGAAGGCCUUCUGGGUUGUAAACUGCUUUUAUCCGGGGAUAAAAACACUGUGCGCAGUGGAUUGAAGGUACCGGAGGAAUAAGCCACGGCUAACUACGUGCCAGCAGCCGCGGUAAUACGUAGGUGGCAAGCGUUGUCCGGAUUUAUUGGGUUUAAAGGGUGCGUAGGCGGCCUGUUAAGUCAGUGGUGAAAGACGGCAGCUCAACUGUCGAGGUGCCAUUGAUACUGACGGGCUAGAGUACUGAUGAGGUAGGCGGAAUGGACGGUGUAGCGGUGAAAUGCAUAGAUAUCGUCCAGAACACCGAUAGCGAAGGCAGCUUACUAAGGAGUAACUGACGCUGAAGCACGAAAGUGUGGGUAGCAAACAGGAUUAGAUACCCUGGUAGUCCACACCGUAAACGAUGAACACUUGGUGUAGUGGGCGUUGACCCCCACUGUGCCGUAGCUAACGCGAUAAGUGUUCCGCCUGGGGAGUACGGUCGCAAGGCUGAAACUCAAAGGAAUUGACGGGGGCCCGCACAAGCGGUGGAGCAUGUGGUUCAAUUCGACGCAACGCGAAGAACCUUACCAAGGCUUGACAUAUAGCGAAAAGUGGCAGAGAUGUCAUGUCCGCAAGGGCGCUAUACAGGUGGUGCAUGGUUGUCGUCAGCUCGUGUCGUGAGAUGUUGGGUUAAGUCCCGCAACGAGCGCAACCCUUGUCAUUAGUUGCUACGAAAGGGCACUCUAAUGAGACUGCCGGUGACAAACCGGAGGAAGGUGGGGAUGACGUCAAGUCCUCAUGGCCCUUAUAGGUGGGGCUACACACGUCAUACAAUGGCUGGUACAGAGGGUUGCCAACCCGCGAGGGGGAGCUAAUCCCAUAAAACCAGUCGUAGUCCGGAUCGCAGUCUGCAACUCGACUGCGUGAAGUCGGAAUCGCUAGUAAUCGCGGAUCAGCAUGUCGCGGUGAAUACGUUCCCGGGUCUUGUACACACCGCCCGUCACACCAUGGGAGCGGGUUCUGCCAGAAGUAGUUAGCC
rnacentral:rRNA from 1 species